rnacentral:rRNA from 1 species
UCCGUAGGUGGCAAGCGUUGUCCGGCUUUAUUGGGUUUAAAGGGUGCGUAGGCGGCUUUUUAAGUCAGUGGUGAACGCCGAUCGCUUAACGAUCGAACUGCCAUUGAUACUGAGAGGCUUGAGUAUAGUUGAGGUAGGCGGAAUUGACAGUGUAGCGGUGAAAUGCAUAGAUAGUGUCAAGAACAACAAUUGCGAAGGCAGCUUACUAAAGUAUAACUGACGCUGAGGCACGAAAGUGCGGGGAUCAAACAGG